GCUGAACAACAGAGAUCACGUGGCUUGUGAGCGCCCUGGUGGAGGAUCGUCUGCAGGUUGGAUAUGAUUAACUGAUGUGGCGCUGCGUCGUGUGUACUGUAGCUAAUGUAUUUGUACUUCGGUGACAAUUGUUAUAUUUUUUUUUGUGUACUGGAGUUGUGGUGAUGAGCACCACAUGUAUCUACUGAAAUUAUGUGUGUGCUAAGCUGCGUGGUACGCUGACGGACCAAAAGUUUGACAGCUUGUGCGGUGUGCUGAGGUCGCUGUUGUUCUUUGACCCUAAUAGCUUAUACGGAGUAGCUGGCUAUCGAUCCCCAGGGUGAAAGUCCUGUCGAACGUUUCCGUUCCCAGGGGAAUCACCUUUUACAGUACAUCAAAGUAAUAAGAGCCAUCCAUUUUAUCCAUUGAACGGACAAGAUUAACUAAUACUACAGCUCAAUUUGUGGAGUAUUUUUUUUGACUAAAACCACUUCUGCUUCGGUACACCCCCUAAACACAAGGACGGCUCAGAUUAACUGAUACCUCUUCAUAAGUAAAGGCAUGAUAGUCAUAAUUUAUAAACUCUUCAUGUAUAUGCUAUUUUUUUUUACAAACACGUAUACACUGUACAUGAACGGACGUGCACACCCUGCCGCGGGCUGGCCCAUUCAGCCUUCUUUUUUUAUGAAACCGCAAAAAAUAGAAGUUUAAAUAGAUUUGUGUCCCCCCUGUGAAGGUAUCCUCAGGCCUACAUGGAUCAGCUGAACAACAGAGAUCAUGUGGCUUGUGAGGGCAUCUCCAGCCGCGCCCCCAAGAAGGCCUCCUCAGGCUUUUUUUCGCGCCGGCGCUGAAAAAACGGCCCAGUCGCGUCCCCAGGAGCCCGAUUUUCACCGGCUUGGGCCGAAAACAGCGCCGGCGGACCCAGCCCGAACCCGGCGCGCUGGGGGGCGCCCGGGGGCACCGGGCGAACUGUUUUGGCGCGAAAAAGCCGCGGGUCCGCCGCGUCAGCGACACGGCUCUCUUCUCGGCCCUUCGUCGUCCUCAUCGCCUCGUUUCCCGAGGCGAAUCAAUGCCAAAGCUGCCGCGCUGCCGCGCCGGUCAGCCUGCACCAUUGAUGCCUCACGGGCGGCGCAGUGAAGACCGGACGACGCGCGUCCCUCGCCCUCCCUCGCCCGCCACGCGUACACACGGUGACACGCGCGCCUUGGCCUAUAUAUGAAGUGCCCCGGCGCACUCGGCGACUCACACUCUCCCGCCGCCGUCGUUUCCUCCCUCUCCUCUCCUCUCUUUCGCCGUCCCUAGUUCACACCCAUGGCCGAGCGCUUCCCAGGCGACGGCGCGGCGGCGAACGGCUUCAGCCGCCGCCAUCUUCACGAAGACGAGGCUCGCCUCCUUUACGAGGCCGAGUACCCGGUCCCGCCGGACAUGCGGGUGCCCGGGACGUGGAGGAUCAGCGCGGGCGGUGUGCCGGUGCCCCCGGUACCGACCGGUGUGGCGCGGCGUGCGGAGAUCGCAUGCAUCCGCUCGAACCUGCCGCGUGCGGCGAGGGAGGCGCCACGGUACGCCCCCGACAGCCCGCUCUGGGAACCUUACUUCCGCCGCCGUCAGGCCGAGCAGCUCGAGGCCACCAACUGCGUCGUGCCCUCUGGCAGGCUCAACGCCGCAGGCCGGCGUCUGUGGUGGGGCGUGCCCGGGCGCAUGUUGGAGGCCGUCCUCGAGUACAUCGAGGGCGGCAACAUGCCGCGCCUGGAGUACCCCGCUCCCCCUUCCUUCUCACGCCACCGGGGAAGCUCCUGGACCCCGAGGCGCAUGGAGACCGGGGGGUCCUCCUCCUCGUCCGGCGGCUCGCCCUGCCUCCGCCCUGUCAAGCCGGAGCCCCAAGACACGCCGGUCAGCACGCGCACCCGCAGCUCCGGCGGCGCACCCGCAACCGACCGCUUCGUCCUUGCCGAGCCCAAGCCAGAGCCUGUCCUCCCCGCGGAGUACGAGGAGAUAGCCCGGCGCGGCUUCUCCGACGAGGACGCCAUGCGGUGGGCGCGGGACGACUACCUCUGCGACGAGAUGGUCCGGCAGCGCCGGGCCCUGGAGGAGAUCGCCGCCCGCAAGCGUGGGCGCGAGGACGAGCACGGCGUCGUGGUCCUCGACAGCGACGACGACGACGACGCCCCCGAACCGUCCAACCCGCCGCGCCAACCGGGGGAGGGAUGCAGCAGGGACGGCGGAGGCGGCGACGACGACGACGACGGCGGUGACUACACGCGGUUCUACCGCCUCCUCGACAUGUAGAACCGCGUGGGCGGGCGGCGAGGGAGACGGCGGGGUAGCCCGCGGUAGUUUUUUUGCUUUUUUGUAAAAUAUGUUUAAGUUUGAAUGAACUCGCCGAUGUUUGCGUUAAAUUUGAGUCGUUUUUGCGCCGUGUUUGACUUUUUUGAUUAACCGUGGGUUUAGCGCCGGUGCACCCCCAGGGGGCGCUUUUUUGCCUCUCCUGGGGGGCCAACGGCUGGAGAUGCCGUGAGCGCCCUGGUGGAGGAUCGUCUGCAGGUUGGAUAUGAUUAACUGAUGUGGCGCUGCGUCGUGUGUACUGUAGCUAAUGUAUUUGUACUUCGGUGACAAUUGUUAUAUUUUUUUUGUGUACUGGAGUUGUGGUGAUGAGCACCACAUGUAUCUACUGAAAUUAUGUGUGUGCUAAGCUGCGUGGUACGCUGACGGACCAAAAGUUUGACAGCUUGUGCGAUGUGCUGAGGUCGCUGUUGUUCUUUGACCCUAAUAGCUUAUACGGAGUAGCUGGCUAUCGAUCCCCAGGGUGAAAGUCCUGUCGAACGUUUCCGUUCCCAGGGGAAUCACCUUUUACAGUACAUCAAAGUAAUAAGAGCCAUCCAUUUU
rnacentral:lncRNA from 1 species